GACGAACGCUGGCGGCGCGCCUAACACAUGCAAGUCGAACGAGCGAGAGAGAGCUUGCUUUCUCGAGCGAGUGGCGAACGGGUGAGUAACGCGUGAGGAACCUGCCUCAAAGAGGGGGACAACAGUUGGAAACGACUGCUAAUACCGCAUAAGCCCACGGCUCGGCAUCGAGCAGAGGGAAAAGGAGUAAUCCGCUUUGAGAUGGCCUCGCGUCCGAUUAGCUAGUUGGUGAGGUAAUGGCCCACCAAGGCGACGAUCGGUAGCCGGACUGAGAGGUUGAACGGCCACAUUGGGACUGAGACACGGCCCAGACUCCUACGGGAGGCAGCAGUGGGGAAUAUUGCACAAUGGGGGAAACCCUGAUACAGCGACGCCGCGUGGAGGAAGAAGGUCUUCGGAUUGUAAACUCCUGUUGUUGGGGAAGAUAAUGACGGUACCCAACAAGGAAGUGACGGCUAACUACGUGCCAGCAGCCGCGGUAAAACGUAGGUCACAAGCGUUGUCCGGAAUUACUGGGUGUAAAGGGAGCGCAGGCGGGAAGACAAGUUGGAAGUGAAAUCUAUGGGCUCAACCCAUAAACUGCUUUCAAAACUGUUUUUCUUGAGUAGUGCAGAGGUAGGCGGAAUUCCCGGUGUAGCGGUGGAAUGCGUAGAUAUCGGGAGGAACACCAGUGGCGCAAGGCGGCCUACUGGGCACCAACUGACGCUGAGGCUCGAAAGUGUGGGUAGCAAACAGGAUUAGAUACCCUGGUAGUCCACACCGUAAACGAUGAUUAUUAGGUGUUGGAGGAUUGACCCCCCCAGUGCCGCAGUUAACACAAUAAGUAAAUCCACCUGGGGAGUACGACCGCAAGGUUGAAACUCAAAGGAAUUGACGGGGGCCCGCACAAGCAGUGGAGUAUGUGGUUUAAUUUGACGCAACGCGAAGAACCUUACCAAGUCUUGACAUCCCUCGACAGGCAUAGAAAUAUGUUUUCUCUUCGGAGCAAGGAGACAGGUGGUGCAUGGUUGUCGUCAGCUCGUGUCGUGAGAUGUUGGGUUAAGUCCCGCAACGAGCGCAACCCUUAUGGUCAGUUACUACGCAAGAGGACUCUGGCCAGACUGCCGUUGACAAAACGGAGGAAGGUGGGGAGGACGUCAAAUCAUCAUGCCCUCUAUGACUUGGGCUACACACGUACUACAAUGGCGUUAAACAAAGAGAAGCAAGACCGCGAGGUGGAGCAAAACUCAGAAACAACGUCCCAGUUCGGACUGCAGGCUGCAACUCGCCUGCACGAAGUCGGAAUUGCUAGUAAUCGUGGAUCAGCAUGCCCCGG
rnacentral:rRNA from 1 species